rnacentral:rRNA from 1 species
CUCAGGGAGGUAGUGACAAGAAAUAACAACACUGGAAAUUUUAUUUCUAGUGAUUGGAAUGAUGGGAAUUUAAACCCCUUUCAGAGUAACAAUUGGAGGGCAAGUCUGGUGCCAGCAGCCGCGGUAAUUCCAGCUCCAAUAGCGUAUAUUAAAGUUGUUGCAGUUAAAAAGCUCGUAGUUGGAUGUCUGCUGGAAGCAAUCAGCCCGCCCUACUUGUAGGGUGUGCACUUGAUGAAUUCUGGCAUCUAUGUCCUAAUGUGAUAGAUACGGCGGUGUAUAUGGGUUAAUCCUAUAUACCCGUUUUUGUAUAUUAUAUUGGGAUAAUACCGUUACUUUGAGAAAAUUAGAGUGUUUGAAGCAGGCUAAUUGCCUUGAAUACUGCAGCAUGGAAUAACAAUAUAGGAUUUCGGUUCUAUUUUGUUGGUUUCUAGGACUGAAAUAAUGAUUAAUAGGGACAGUUGGGGGCAUUCGUAUUUAACUGUCAGAGGUGAAAUUCUUAGAUUUGUUAAAGACGAACUACUGCGAAAGCAUUUGCCAAAGAUGUUUUCAUUAAUCAAGAACGAAAGUUAGGGGCUCGAAGACGAUCAGAUACCGUCGUAGUCUUAACCAUAAACUAUGCCGACUAGAGAUAGGAAAAUGUCAUUUUUCUGACUU